UACGAAGGGGGCUAGCGUUGCUCGGAAUCACUGGGCGUAAAGGGUGCGUAGGCGGUUCUUUAAGUCUGGGGUGAAAUCCUGGAGCUCAACUCCAGAACUGCCUUUGAUACUGAAGAUCUUGAGUUCGGGAGAGGUGAGUGGAACUGCGAGUGUAGAGGUGAAAUUCGUAGAUAUUCGCAAGAACACCAGUGGCGAAGGCGGCUCACUGGCCCGAUACUGACGCUGAGGCACGAAAGCGUGGGGAGCAAACAGG
rnacentral:rRNA from 1 species